GAUGAACGCUGGCGGCGUGCCUAAUACAUGCAAGUCGAGCGAACAGACGAGGAGCUUGCUCCUUUGAUGUUAGCGGCGGACGGGUGAGUAACACGUAGGUAACCUACCUAUAAGACUGGGAUAACUUCGGGAAACCGGAGCUAAUACCGGAUAAUAUUUCGAACCGCAUGGUUCGAUAGUGAAAGAUGGCUUUGCUAUCACUUAUAGAUGGACCUGCGCCGUAUUAGCUAGUUGGUAAGGUAACGGCUUACCAAGGCAACGAUACGUAGCCGACCUGAGAGGGUGAUCAGCCACACUGGAACUGAGACACGGUCCAGACUCCUACGGGAGGCAGCAGUAGGGAAUCUUCCGCAAUGGGCGAAAGCCUGACGGAGCAACGCCGCGUGAGUGAUGAAGGUCUUCGGAUCGUAAAACUCUGUUAUUAGGGAAGAACAAACGUGUAAGUAACUGUGCACGUCUUGACGGUACCUAAUCAGAAAGCCACGGCUAACUACAUG
rnacentral:rRNA from 1 species